GAAGAAUCACGGCUUCGCAGUGCGCACACGGGGAGCUUGCUCCCAGAGAUGCUGCGAGGAAAGUCCCCGUGCCUUGGUGCAGAGAGUGCGAGUGGGAGACCGCAGGGCUCGUGCCAGACUUCCACAGACAUGCCGUGAGCGCUCAUGAUUGGAGAGAUGCUGCGAGGAAACCUCCAGUGGUGAUGCUUCUCGCAGAGCCUUGGUGGCGGGCUCGGGCCCGUCGCAGCAGCACAGACAUGCCGUGAGCGUCUCAUGAUUGGAGCGCCACGGCGCCUUGGCUUCGGGGGGCAGGGAAAGCACGGAUUCGCAAUGCGCGCACAGGGAGCUGAGGAAAGUUCCCGUGCCUUGGUGCAGAGAGUGCGAGUGGGAACAGAACGGGGCUCACUCU
rnacentral:RNase_MRP_RNA from 14 species